CGUACCUAUUAGAGCGAUGAAGUAUGUACGUACGUACGUGGGGUUCUGGAAUCGGGAAUCAGCAGUUGGGAUUGAGAUGGGACGUGAAGUGGGAUUAGGGUGCUCUGAGAUUGUCGAUGCCACAUGUCGCUCAUCCGAUAGGGUCUCACAAGCUGGUCUAUGAGACCCGGUCUCAUACAAUUUUUCUCCUCGAAACCCCAAGGACAAUCGCAGAUCAAAGAUCGAGUGCGUGGCUUGGCACUCCGCUCAUGGGGAAGGCCUACCGCAAGAAGCUGGGCGUGAACAAGGCGGCCACCCCCGCCGGAGGGAAGGGCAAGGGAGCCGGCGGCGGCAACGCUAAGCGCUCGGGAGGCGCAGCCCGUGCGGGCGGUGCCGGACCGGGAUGAGGCGCCAAGGGAGCAGGUGGUGCGGGCUGGGGAGGCGCGUCGACGUUCUCUGCCACCUACCAUAUCACCUUCCAGACGGCAGUGAAUGUCACGAACGAGUACUACAACCAGUGGGAGAACGACUGCUCGUCCGACGACGACGGCCCGCCAUCCGCUCCCGCCAACGAUGGCACAUUUGAGAUGGUAAUUAUGCCGAUGAACUCAACUACCAGUAGUCGACCACCACCUUUAUGCAUUCUCUGGGUAAUGUCACGGCUUGACGCAGCUAUGCAUUCUUCGUCUCUAGGCCGUGAAUGACACGAAUGAGUACUACCAAGAGGAGGAGGAGAACAACUGUUCUUCCCCAUUCGCUCCAGCCGAUGAUAGCACCUUCGAAAAGGCCAUCGAGACCAUGAAUGAGCACUACGAUGAGGAGGAGAAACUAGGUUUAUCCAUGGACAACGAGGAAGAGGGCGUGGAGGAUGCUGAACUUGUUUCUGAUGCAGAUGGUGGUGGUGAUGACGACGCCGGGAGUGGUGAUGGCCACUUCGGUGACGAUGACUACUACGACGACGACAUUGCCGGGGGUUUCAACGAUUUCUACGGUGAUGCUGGGGAUGGUCCUGAUGACUGGUGGUAGUGAUCCAGGAACGAGGACCAAGGAACUUGAGGCAUCUAUAAAGUCUUGGUGUCAAGAUGAAGUCUCGCUAUCGGGUUUGCUAGUUCUUAUGUUAUAAUCUUAGAUUCACUUGUCCACUUGGCAUUUAGCUUAGCUUUUGCGUGUGCAUGGGUUCCCCGCCAGGAGAUUUGGAGACGUAUUGCCAUUCUUUGUAUGAUAGCCUAGGUAAAUCAGUCUUUG